GAUGAACGCUAGCUACAGGCUUAACACAUGCAAGUCGAGGGGAAACGAUAUUGGAAGCUUGCUUCUGAUAGGCGUCGACCGGCGCACGGGUGAGUAACGCGUAUCCAACCUGCCCAUCACUUGGGGAUAACCUUGCGAAAGUAAGACUAAUACCCAAUGACGUCUCUAGAAGACAUCUGAAGGAGAUUAAAGAUUUAUCGGUGAUGGAUGGGGAUGCGUCUGAUUAGCUUGUUGGCGGGGUAACGGCCCACCAAGGCGACGAUCAGUAGGGGUUCUGAGAGGAAGGUCCCCCACAUUGGAACUGAGACACGGUCCAAACUCCUACGGGAGGCAGCAGUGAGGAAUAUUGGUCAAUGGGCGAGAGCCUGAACCAGCCAAGUAGCGUGCAGGAAGACGACCCUAUGGGUUGUAACUGCUUUUAUAAGGGAAUAAAGUGGGAGUCGUGACUCCUUUUGCAUGUACCUUAUGAAUAAGGACCGGCUAAUUCCGUGCCAGCAGCCGCCGUAA
rnacentral:rRNA from 1 species